rnacentral:rRNA from 1 species
GACGAACGCUGGCGGCGUGCUUAACACAUGCAAGUCGAACGGAAAGGCCCUGCUUUUGUGGGGUGCUCGAGUGGCGAACGGGUGAGUAACACGUGAGUAACCUGCCCUUGACUUUGGGAUAACUUCAGGAAACUGGGGCUAAUACCGGAUAGGAGCUCCUGCUGCAUGGUGGGGGUUGGAAAGUUUCGGCGGUUGGGGCUGGACUCGCGGCUUAUCAGCUUGUUGGUGGGGUAGUGGCUUACCAAGGCUUUGACGGGUAGCCGGCCUGAGAGGGUGACCGGCCACAUUGGGACUGAGAUACGGCGCAGACUCCUACGGGAGGCAGCGGUGGGGAAUAUUGCACAAUGGGCGGAAGCCUGAUGCAGCAACGCCGCGUGCGGGAUGACGGCCUUCGGGUUGUAAACCGCUUUCGCCUGUGACGAAGCGUGAGUGACGGUAAUGGGUAAAGAAGCACCGGCUAACUACGUG